ACCCGCUGAACUUAAGCAUAUCAAUAAGCGGAGGAAAAGAAACCAACAGGGAUUGCCCUAGUAACGGCGAGUGAAGCGGCAACAGCUCAAAUUUGAAAUCUGGCGUCUUUGGCGUCCGAGUUAUAAUUUGCAGAGGGCGCUUUGGCAUUGGCAGCGGUCCAAGUUCCUUGGAACAGGACGUCACAGAGGGUGAGAAUCCCGUACGUGGUCGCUAGCCUUUACCGUGUAAAGCCCCUUCGACGAGUCGAGUUGUUUGGGAAUGCAGCUCUAAAUGGGAGGUAAAUUUCUUCUAAAGCUAAAUACUGGCCAGAGACCGAUAGCGCACAAGUAGAGUGAUCGAAAGAUGAAAAGCACUUUGGAAAGAGAGUUAAAAAGCACGUGAAAUUGUUGAAAGGGAAGCGCUUGCAGCCAGACUUGCCUGUAGUUGCUCAUCCGGGUUUUUACCCGGUGCACUCUUCUAUAGGCAGGCCAGCAUCAGUUUGGGCGGUUGGAUAAAGGUCUCUGUCAUGUACCUCUCUUCGGGGAGAACUUAUAGGGGAGACGACAUGCAACCAGCCCGGACUGAGGUCCGCGCAUCUGCCAGGAUGCUGGCGUAAUGGCUGU
rnacentral:rRNA from 1 species